AUUGAACGCUGGCGGCAUGCUUUACACAUGCAAGUCGAACGGUAACAGGUUAAGCUGACGAGUGGCGAACGGGUGAGUAAUGCAUCGGAACGUGCCCGAUCGUGGGGGAUAACGCAGCGAAAGCUGCGCUAAUACCGCAUACGAUCUGAGGAUGAAAGCGGGGGACCGUAAGGCCUCGCGCGAUCGGAGCGGCCGAUGGCAGAUUAGGUAGUUGGUGGGGUAAGGGCCCACCAAGCCGACGAUCGGUAGCUGGUCUGAGAGGACGACCAGCCACACUGGGACUGAGACACGGCCCAGACUCCUACGGGAGGCAGCAGUGGGGAAUUUUGGACAAUGGGCGAAAGCCUGAUCCAGCAAUGCCGCGUGCAGGAAGAAGGCCUUCGGGUUGUAAACUGCUUUUGUACGGAGCGAAAAGGUCCUUUCUAAUACAAGGGGCUCAUGACGGUACCGUAAGAAUAAGCACCGGCUAACUACGUGCCAGCCGCCGCCGUAAGAC
rnacentral:rRNA from 1 species